UACGGGGGGGGCAAGCGUUGUUCGGAAUUAUUGGCGUAAAGAGCUCGUAGGCGGUGUGUCGCGUCGGCCGUGAAAACCUGACAGCUUAACUGUGGGCUUGCGGUCGAUACGGGGCAUCACUGGAGUUCGGCAGGGGGAGACUGGAAUUCCGUGGUGUAGCGGUGAAAUGGCGCAGGAUAUCAGGAGGAACGACCGGUGGCGAAGGCGGGUCUCUGGGCCGAUACUGACGCUGAGGAGCGAAAGCGUGGGGAGCGAACAGG
rnacentral:rRNA from 1 species